GACGAACCACACGAACGUUAUUCGGAAUUACUGGGCUUAAAGGGUGCGUAGGCUGUGCGGAAAGUUAGGUGUGAAAUCCCCCGGCUCAACCGGGGAAUAGCGCUUAAAGCUACCGUGCUGGAGGAAGACAGAGGUGAGCGGAACUUCGGGUGGAGCGGUGAAAUGCGUUGAUAUCCGAAGGAACACCGGUGGCGAAAGCGGCUCACUGGGUCUUUUCUGACGCUGAUGCACGAAAGCUAGGGGAGCAAUCGGG
rnacentral:rRNA from 1 species